UCUGGCUCAGGAUGAACGCUGGCGGCGUAGCUUAACACAUGCAAGUCGAACGAAGCAUUAGAAUUGAUUCUCGGAUGAUUCUUUUGACUUAGUGGCGGACGGGUGAGUAACGCGUGGGUAACCUGCCGUAUGGCAGGGGGACAACAGUUAGAAAUGACUGCUAAUACCGCAUAACCCGCUAGUACCGCAUGGUACAGACGGAAAAGAUUUUAUCGGCAUACGAUGGACCCGCGUCUGAUUAGCUUGUUGGUGAGGUAACGGCCCACCAAGGCGACGAUCAGUAGCCGAACUGAGAGGUUGACCGGCCACAUUGGGACUGAGACACGGCCCAGACUCCUACGGGAGGCAGCAGUGGGGAAUAUUGCACAAUGGGGGAAACCCUGAUGCAGCAACGCCGCGUGAGUGAUGACGUAUUUCGGUAUGUAAAGCUCUAUCAGCAGGGAAGAAAAUGACGGUACCUGACUAAGAAGCCCCGGCUAACUACGUGCCAGCCGCCGC
rnacentral:rRNA from 1 species